rnacentral:ncRNA from 1 species
UAUGAGUGAUUUGUUUGCCGAGUUACUGUAGGGAAUGCUGAAUGUAUUCCAGCAUGCAUGACAUGUGGGAUCCUAUAGUCGGAGGAACACUCUUUU